UAAGGGAAUUCCCCUAGUAGCGGCGAGCGAAGCGGGAAGAGCUCAAAUUUAUAAUCUGGCACCUUCGGUGUCCGAGUUGUAAUCUCUAGAAAUGUUUUCCGCGUUGGACCGCACACAAGUCUGUUGGAAUACAGCGGCAUAGUGGUGAGACCCCCGUAUAUGGUGCGGACGCCCAGCGCUUUGUGAUACAUUUUCGAAGAGUCGAGUUGUUUGGGAAUGCAGCUCAAAUUGGGUGGUAAAUUCCAUCUAAAGCUAAAUAUUGGCGAGAGACCGAUAGCGAACAAGUACCGUGAGGGAAAGAUGAAAAGCACUUUGGAAAGAGAGUUAACAGUACGUGAAAUUGUUGGAAGGGAAACGCUUGAAGUCAGACUUGCUUGCCGAGCAAUCGGUUUGCAGGCCAGCAUCAGUUUUCCGGGAUGGAUAAUGGUAAAGAGAAGGUAGCAGUUUCGGCUGUGUUAUAGCUCUCUACUGGAUACAUCCUGGGGGACUGAGGAACGCAGUGUGCCUUUGGCGGGGGUUUCGACCUCUUCACACUUAGGAUGCUGGUGGAAUGGCUUUAAACGACCCGUCUUGAAACACGGACCA
rnacentral:rRNA from 1 species